rnacentral:tRNA from 1 species
GAGGGCAUAGCUCAAGUGGCAGAGCGCAUGCUUAGCAUGCACAGGGUCCUGGGUUCGAUCCCCAGUCCCUCCU